rnacentral:pre_miRNA from 1 species
GAUAUCAACUGAAAAGUCAUCAACAACAAAGUUGAAUAACUCAUCAAGAUCUAAAACUUUUAUUUUGGUCAUUUCUUCAUACGACAAAGUGAUAGUAACAUUGUUCACAAAAUUGACAUAUCUCUUAUCUGGUUUUAUAAACUAUAACACAUAUAUGUAAAAUUUGUGAAUAAUAUUACUAACAUUUCGUCGGAUGAAGAAAUAACAAAAAUAAAAGUUUUAGAUCUUGAUGAGUUAUUCAACUUUGUUGUUGAUGACUUUUUCAAUUGAAAUC